CAGAGAUGACACUCAGGGUCUGUCUCUGUGUGACCCUGCUGCUCAGCACAGCUACAGGCUUGCCGCGUCUCAACUCCCGGAGCUCUAUAGUUGGGGGAGAGGAUGCAGCCCCUGGAAGAUGGCCCUGGAUGGUGUACCUUGAGACCAUUGAGGGAGAGGAUGACAGCUACUGUGGCGGUUCUCUUAUCAACACUGGAUGGGUUCUGACUGCAGCCCACUGCUUAGAC